AGUUGUUUUGUUUUUCAUCAGAUGGAAGAGAACUAGAGGAAACAAAACACAGAUGGAUGAAGAUGCUGGACUGAGUUUAAACCCAGCAGAGACUCGGUCUGCUCCUCAAACCAGUCAGGACUCGGCAGAUCCUGAAGUUUCCUACGCUACCAUCAGCUACACCAAGACCACGAAUAAAGUUCAGGUUCGUGGUGAUGAUGAAGGUGAUGUAGUGACCUACAGCACUGUGAAGGCUCAUUCCUCUUCUGCUGCAGCCACUGCUGAUCCCAGCAGCCUCUACUCUACUCUCAGUUUCCCAGUCACAUAGUUCAAGUUGACAAAAAGGACUCGCAUUUAAGUUAAAGACUAAUUUUGUGUUUGCAUGCAACAGAUUGAUAGCGACGUGCUAAUUAUCAUAAACUAUUAGAUAGAUACCAUUAUUAUAACAAACAUUUGGUUUCAAAUCCAGAAGCACGUCUUUAUAUCCUCCAUUAAAACUAUAUAAAUAAAUGUAAAUAGAAACUUUAUUUUCUUUAUGAAAUCAGACCAGUGUGUUUCC
ensembl:lncRNA